rnacentral:lncRNA from 10 species
UGGCUAACAUGGUGAAACUCUGUCUCUACUAAAAAUACAAAAAAUUAGCUGGGUGUGGUGGCACGUGCCUAUAGUUUCAGCUACUCGGGAGUUUGAGGCAGGAGAACCGCUUGCACCUUGGAGGCAGAGGUUGCAGUGAGCCGAGAUCUCGCCACUGCACUCCAGCCUGGGUGAAAGAGCAAGACUCCAUCUCAGGAAAAAAAAAAAAAAAAAAAGACUUCAUGGCUCACAAGCCCAAAAUAUUUACUAUCUGGCCCUUUACAGAAAAAGUUUGUCAACCCCUUACCAAAAGGAAAAUAAUAACCUGCUUCUGUCAUUUGUGCUUAACCUAAUUCAAAUAUUCAGCUUUGUCAUGCGUGUCCUUUUCCUCUUGCAGAUGUUUCUGUCAUGGGUAAUAUAUUAUUAGUUGUCAACAUAAAUAAUGAACCUUUUCAAGCGAUAGGUUGCUAACACGUGUUUCAUCAGCCACUACUACAGUUCAGUGAUAAGGUACUGAGAGCUGGUGGAAAGAAAUUCUCCUGCCCAUCUGCCCAGCCUAGAAGAGGAGAAGCUGCUGGAGGAUAUGUUCCACCAAAAUAAAGAAACAAACCAUGAAAAAGGAAGACAUUGGAUGCAGGGAACAAGAGGUUUACAGAGAGAGACAAAGGAAUUUUCAGCAUGAUAUCAAGGAACAGAUCCAGGACAACGAUUCUAUAGCUUCGUUAGAGGACUGCUUUAUUUUAUUAUUUUAUUCUAUUCUAUUCUAUAUUUUAUUUUAUUUUUUAUUUUAUUUUAUAUUUUUUGAGACGGCGUCUGACUCUGGUGCCCAGGCUGGAGUACAGUGGCGCCAUCUCAGCUCACUGCAACCUCUGCCUCCCAGGUUCAAGUGAUUCUCCUGCCUCAGCCUCCUGAGUAGCUGGGAUUACAGGCACGUGCCACCACACCCAGCUAAUUUUUGAAUUUUUAGUAGAGAUGGAUUUUCGCCAGGCUAGUCUCAAACUCCUGAUCUCAGGUGAUCCGCCUGCCUCUGCCUCUCAAAGUGCUGGGAUUACAGGUGUGAGCCACCACGCCUGGCCAAGGACUGCUAGUUUAGAUUGGAGGGGUGACCAUGGAAAACUGCAGGUGUGGUAUCUCUGGGCAGGAGGUGGGGAGAGAAGGAACUGGUAGAUCAUCUGACAGCAUUGACCAACUGACCGUGUAAAACUUGCAUGAAAACACUUCAAUGUUGGGUAGUGUUGCAAGAUUUAACUAUAAGUUUAAGGUAAUCUAAGUGCAUGAAAAAUGGGAUCGAUACAUUCAUACAGUGGAAUAUUGCUUAGCAAUAAAAAUGAAUGAGCUAUCAAACCAUGAAAAGAUAUGGAAAAAUCUUAAAUGCAUAUUGCUAAGUGAAAGAGAGGAGUCUGAAAAAACUGCAUGCUGUAUUUCAAUUAUAUGACAUUUUGGAAAAGGCAAAAUUACUGAAAUGGUAAACAGAUCAGUGGUCAACAGGGUCUCAAGGAGGAAGGUUGAAUAGGUGAAGCAAUCAGGGUUUUUUGGGGAGAUGAAAUGAUUCUGC